rnacentral:lncRNA from 10 species
GUUGAAGCCUUAGCCUUGGCAUGGAGGAAGGGCUCUUCAUUCUCAGAAACAGAGCAAAGCAGAGGGAGGCAGAGACCAUAGACAACUUCCAGGUGAAGAAGAACAAAUAUCUGCCCCAAGCUUCUCAGCGUCAUCAGCAGCCAUGAAGAGCCAGCUAAGAGCAGGAUUUGUUCAUCACUUGCCAUGUGGAGGCACUGUCCUAGCUGCUCAGGAUGAAGGGCUUUGUGCUGACAGCUGAGAUCUGAAUCACGAGAAGGAUCCAGCCAUGGGACAACAUGUGGAUGAGUAUUUCGGGCCAAGGGGACAGCAGUGAUGAGGCAGUGACUGAGUUUCCACUGCAGCACUUCAGCAGGCCUGCCAAUUGCCAGUAUCAUCAAGGUUUCUUUGUGGAGCACCUACUUCCUGUGCAAGCCUCGGAAACCAGGGCCCGGUCCUCCCAACCAGCGGCUGCUUCCUCUGAACGCCUUCAAGUCUGCCCUGUGCUUUCAGAAUCUGUCUUCAUCCAGCACCAUUGAAAACCUCAGGAGUGCACUGAACCACGUGAUGUCUGAGGACCAUUCUGGUCCUGGCAAGCAAUAAAUGACUGCUUUCAAGAAGAACACUGCCUACAGUCCUCCCCAGAAUCCGGAUGGCCCUCUGGCCACUCACGUCCACUGGGUCCCAGUGUGUGAGCACAUGCCCCUGCGAGAAGAAGUCCUGAUCACUGCCUUGUGCUGGGGAUAAAAUAUUGAUUAGGGAAUUUAAAAUUUCAAAAUGAUUCAGGAGCCCCAAAAUGGGGACAUAAUGUGCUGUGCCAAUCUACGUUAUGAGCCAUCUAUCUCCUGUCAGCAAGCAGCCAGAAACUGACAGAAUCAAUACAAACGUGUCUGAAGACAGGCUUAACUCAUUUCCUUCCCCCUGGGGCUCUGGUUGGAGUGGGACAGUCCUGAGAGAUCCACACUGAGGCCAGGACCUUCACACCCACCUGCUUGUCACUGGGAGGCAGAGCUGUGCAGUGCUGCCUAUUUUCACUGCCUCCUCUGCUGAUGCAGGUAUCUCUGCUAGUGCGUCUGGAAAUCUAAAACUUCCAUUGUCUUCUUUCCCUCUCUAACAGUCUAAAUAAGAUGUCUGGCCUGUGGCCUGGAAAUAAAAUAAUAAUAAUAGCUUUCUUAUAUUAAGCACUUGAAAUGUGCCAAGUAUCUUAAAAGAGUCAUCAUUAUUUAACUUCUCAGAGCAUCAGCUUCCCUAUCUGUGAAAGAAAGAUAAUAAUAACACCUUCCUCAUAGGAUUGAUGUAAGAAUAAGGCAGACACACGGUGACUGUAGUUAAUGCCACUGAGAGUGAUUAAAAUUGUAAAUUUUAUGGUGUGUAUAAUUUACCACAAUAAAAAAAUAACAAAAAAAGGUAAAAGCAGAUAAACUACAUCAUAUAGUGCAAAGAAAGUUCUCCAUAAAUGGCAGCUGCUGAGAAAACUGGAAUGCAGAGCUUCAGCAACCCGAAACAUGUCCAAGAUAACAGCUUCAAAGUGGCAGAACCAGCAUUUGAACACACAUCUGCCUGAUGUUGAAACCAGACCAUUGUCCUGCAAACUGCACUGUAUCACAGAGAAAGAAGAGGGGUGCUUCAUGGACAUGUCCUUGUCUGCCAGGUUCUCUUGCUGCUGCUCCCAUUUCCCCACCGGCAUCCCAGGUGCUUGCAUUACUCUGUGAGGUUAAUAAAGAUGUUAUUCCCAGGGAAUGCCCUUGCUCCUCCCUGCCUCAAACAUGGUUCUUUCCACCUGAAACAUUUAUUAAACAUGCUGAAAGGCUUAAAUAGGAAUUUAAUUUUUCUAGCUAAACAAUGGCGUGUGCAGCAGACCAAUAGAAUUACUUGUUUAAUCUUACUCUUGCACUCCUACUCAGCUUCACAUGGCUGGUUAAUCCCAGGAGCAGCAUGACAUGCCAAGAUUUAGUAUACUAAGGAGCACAUCUAUUAAAAAAAAAAAAACCUACUUAUUAUAUUAAGAAAAUGCCCAC